UAAAUACCUACGGGGCUAAUUUGCACACGCUCAUUUUGUCAAAACUUCCAAGAAACAUUACCGUCUUGGAAUUUAAAACCAUUUUUGCUUCGUGCCCCAAUCUGGAGACGCUUCGUUUGGUUAAAAUUCCCAAAGUCACCGAUGACGCCAUACCAUUUGCAAAUCCAUACCCCUCUUUGAAGGAAUUGGAAUGGAAACCAACAAGUUCUGGAAAUGCUUGUCUUUCAAAAAUUCUCUCAGCAGCAACCAACCUGGAGAAGUUGGUAUUGAAAGGCAGGUACUUCAACGUCACUGACAUGGAAGAAG